rnacentral:rRNA from 1 species
AAAAAAGCGAGUUUGAUCAUGGCUCAGGACGAACGCUGGCGGCGUGCUUAACACAUGCAAGUCGAACGGGCAGCACUGGAAGGUUCGCUGGAAGGUGCUGUUAGUGGCGGACGGGUGAGUAACGCGUGAGGACAUGGCUCCAGGAGGGGAUAACGUUUGGAAACGGACGCUAAGACCCAUAUGCCGGAAGGUGAAAAUGGCGCAAGCCAGCCUGGAGAGUGACUCGCGUCCUAUCAGCUAGUUGGUGGGGUGAAGGCCUACCAAGGCGAUGACGGGUAGCCGACCUGAGAGGGUGGCCGGCCACACUGGAACUGAGAUACGGUCCAGACUCCUACGGGAGGCAGCAGUGGGGAAUAUUGGGCAAUGGGGCGCAAGCCUGACCCAGCGACGCCGCGUGGGGGAUGAAGUCUUUCGGGAUGUAAACCCUUGUUGUACGGGACGAAAACAAUGACGGUACCGUACGAGGAAGCCCCGGCAAACUACGUGCCAGCCGCCGCCGUAA